CAUUAUCACUAAAUAACUGACAUUUUACUAGCAGAGUUAUGAGCACCUACAUCACUGGAAUUCUUUCCUCUUACUCUUUUUUCUUAAUACCACUGACCAACUAGUGGAAGAACUCCUCUUCUUUGUGAAGCCUAUGAGAAGAUGCCUUCACAUGGCAGAGAAAUUAGAGAACGUUUCCUCCUGCAAGCAGCAUAACUACAUGGACAAUGGGUUUCUCUCCCAGAGGUUUCUUCAUGCAAAGAAAACUGUGAAUACAUUUCUUGUUUGUGGCCAUGACUUCUAUAUUCAAGUACUUCCAAAGAUCCUCCCAGUUGCUGAGGACCAUUCUGCACUCCUGCAUUAAUAGCCCUCAGGCUGACCUGGGUCUGUGGCUGUUUUCCUGGCCAGUGCCUGUGAUUUGAAUGAUUGGCAAGCUCUGUAACUGAGUUCUUGGGAAAACAAAUGAUCUCAUAGAUGGAGCUGCUCCACGUUAGGAAGUGCAAGAAUUAUGAAAUGCAGUCACAGCAGGGAAAGAAGUUUUUUUGCAUUUGGAUGGCGACCUUUUGUUUCUAAGGUACCAUAGGGUGGAUGUGGCUAAUAAAUGCCUCUACUGUGGUUCUGGGGAAAAAUUC
rnacentral:lncRNA from 1 species